CUAGCAAUUGUAAUCACGUUUUUUGCAAAUCACCCCCAAACCCCAUCCGUAGGAGACCAACCAUGGCAAUCUCGAGCACAGAAGAGCCGCCGCCACCCGCGAGUCACCUCUCUCGAGUCGUCGGUCGCCGCCGGUCUCGAGCGCCGCCGACCUCACCAUGGACUUCGACGCCUGGUCCCUGUUUCGUCUACCCUGGUCGCCCCCAACUCGUGAGUCACGGUAAUCUUCGACUAGGCGCCAUGACAAGGACCCGACAAUGUACCAGCAGUUGAGUCCGGCCUUGCAGUCCCGGCACCAUGCGAUGGCCUCGAGCGCUGCCCUGAUGACGCGGCGGACGACAUAGUCGAUGCCGAGGUCCGUGAGGCUGGGCUCACGGCAGUUGACGUAGCCGAUCCGGCGCCUGCAGUUGAGUCCAGCGGCCGAUGAUCAUUCAUCUUCACAAGCGGCGGCAAAUGAGUCGAAGAGACGGGUGGCGGUGCGACCUCUGGACUGCACGCGUGACUUCCGUACGGGAGAAAUGAAGAGGCCGAGGGACUCACGUAUGUGAGAUGAGGAAGGGGUGACUUGCAAAAAAACAAAAUAGUUAGUCUAAUGGUGGGCGUUUUUUUUAAAAUAACCCACCUCUCUCUGUGUCCAUCAGAUGAAGAUCCUGUGGCCUUGAUCAAAAGUUUGCAAGUUUACACAGCUUGCCUGGUUUACAUAGGAUACGUUCUCCUUGUAUUUUGGGUAUUAUUGUGGGACAGUCUAAUAUAAAUUAGAAAGAAAAAGAAAAAAACAGAAAGGAAAAGAAAAGAGGACCCUAAGGAAAUAGGGGUUGUUUGGUUGCUAGCCACAAUUUGCCACACUUAAUCUUACGCAAGUUUGACCAAGUUGGCAAGUGUUUGGUUGACAACUAAGUUUAGACAUGAUUUUUUUGGGCUCCACA
rnacentral:lncRNA from 1 species